rnacentral:rRNA from 1 species
AUUGAACGCUGGCGGCAUGCCUUACACAUGCAAGUCGAACGGUAACAGGUCUUCGGAUGCUGACGAGUGGCGAACGGGUGAGUAAUACAUCGGAACGUGCCUAGUAGUGGGGGAUAACUACUCGCAAGAGUGGCCAAUACCGCAUGAGAUGUCCGUAAUAAAGCAGGGGAUCGCAAGACCUUCUCCUACUAGAACGGCCGAUGGCAGAUUAGGGAGUUGGUGGGAUAAAAGCUUACCAAGCCGACGAUCUGUAGCUGGUCUGAGAGGACGAUCAGCCACACUGGGACUAAGACACGGCCCAGACUCCUACGGGAGGCAGCAGUGGGGAAUUUUGGACAAUGGGCGAAAGCCUGAUCCAGCAAUGCCGCGUGCAGGAUGAAGGCCUUCGGGUUGUAAACUGCUUUUGUACGGAACGAAAAGCCCCGGGUUAAUACCCUGGGGUCAUGACGGUACCGUAAGAAUAAGCACCGGCUAACUACGUGCCAGCAGCCGCGGUAA